AUUGAACGCUGGCGGCAGGCCUAACACAUGCAAGUCGAACGGUAACAGGAAGCAGCUUGCUGCUUUGCUGACGAGUGGCGGACGGGUGAGUAAUGUCUGGGAAACUGCCUGAUGGAGGGGGAUAACUACUGGAAACGGUAGCUAAUACCGCAUAACGUCGCAAGACCAAAGAGGGGGACCUUCGGGCCUCUUGCCAUCGGAUGUGCCCAGAUGGGUUUAGCUAGUAGGUGGGGUAACGGCUCACCUAGGCGACGAUCCCUAGCUGGUCUGAGAGGAUGACCAGCCACACUGGAACUGAGACACGGUCCAGACUCCUACGGGAGGCAGCAGAGGGGAAUAUUGCACGAUGGGCGCAAGCCUGAUGCAGCCAUGCCGCGUGUAUGAAGAAGGCCUUCGGGUUGUAAAGUACUUUCAGCGGGGAGGAAGGGAGUAAAGUUAAUACCUUUGCUCAUUGACGUUACCCGCAGAAGAAGCACCGGCUAACUCCGUG
rnacentral:rRNA from 1 species